rnacentral:tRNA from 1 species
GUGGGUGUAGCUCAGUGGGAGAGCGCAUGCUUAUCAUGUGCAAGGUCCUGGGUUCAAUCCCCAGUGCCUCCA